AGGCCAACAACUGCUAAAAUAAGAGUGAGAUAGAUCCAACAAGACCGUUGUUAAAUGAGAUCUCAGUGGUAAUAAGGAAUGCACAGGGCAAAAUUGGAACUUUCAUACAAAGGAUUGAAUAUGAAACCAUGAUCUUUCUGCUAGAAUAGCAGAGUACAGGGACAAACUGAUGGUAAGUGCAGGGUCCUAAUGGCUAGAAAGACCACUCGAAUGCAGGAUAUACAAGAGAAGAACGUCAACCCCUUCACAGUUUUGCAAGAAAAAUCCACACAAGAAGGAGAGAUCAACAUGCUAUCGAAAACCAUGGAGGAUAUCUGAAAUGACAAC
rnacentral:lncRNA from 1 species